GUGGGUGGGAAGGAGCUCUCUUCAGUCCAGUCCGGGGCAUUGGAAAGGCCGAUGACACAGCUACUGACUCGUUGGUUCGAGAACUCAUCGACAAUUGUAAUAGGAGAUAUUAUUGGAUGGGUUUCCGAUCCAACGAUGCAGGAGCUGUGUGUGGCUAUUGAUGUCGCGUCUUGGACUGAAGGGAGCUCCCUACUGCCUACUA
rnacentral:pre_miRNA from 1 species